GCUGAGCUGCUUUGUACGUUAGGUGAUGUUUUUUCGGGGCCUAUAAGUUUCUCUUGGGAGCUGACCCUGAUUUAGGUCGUGGCCUUUAUUAAUCGGCGCCCACCUACAAUGUAGGGAUCCAGGGAAUUGCUAUAUCCGACGGCAUAUGUGGCUCAGCU
rnacentral:other from 1 species